ACUAGGUCCUCUGCUUGGAUGUAGCGUGGACUCCAAAGAGAAUGGGAUGGCAAGUGUCACAGAGAACAUGAAAAGAUCUGGACGAGGUCAGAGAAGAUCAAAGUGUUCCAAACGGACCAGAGACCAGAGAUGCUUUGAUGGACCAGAGAUAAUGAAAAGUUCUGAACAUACCAGAGAUGAUUGAAAUGUUCCAGAUGGACCAGAGAUGAUUUAAACCCCAA
rnacentral:lncRNA from 1 species